rnacentral:lncRNA from 1 species
UUUUUAGCCGCCAAGAAACAACAGCGCCGACGAGUCAGAACAGCCGUGAAACACUGUCACAACGGAAGGAUUUCGCCGGAGGGAGAGGAGGAUGUCAAGAUGGUAUCGGCGGGAUCUAAGCUGAUGAGUUUAGUAGACAUUGAUGAGUUUUCUGCGGCGGAGUUUAUGCAUAGAAUCUCGAUUUCGAAGUCUAAGAAACCGAAGCUGGAAACCAUAGCUGAAGAAGAAUCUCUCUUAAGCGGACUUGAAAUCAAACAAUUAUUGGAACUUGAUUUUUUCAACGCUUUUUUUAAUUUUAGUUAUUGUUCUUGUUUGUAGUGUUAUUGAGAAUGAGCAUGUAAUGAUAAAGUUCUUUAAUUUUAUGUAAAUGUAAAUUAGUAAUCUUAAGCUCUUAACCAUUAUUUUUAUAGUAUUUGUUUUUCAUCAGUAUUUAAUUAAUAAUUUAAUGAAUGCUAAAAUCAAAAUUACACCAUCUUUUAUUUUUUUUCUUAAAACAACUAUUAAAAUGAUUUAAAAGUUGUAGUAUAUAGGUAUUUAUACAGAAAAAAACAUACAGUUACAAUAAUAAAAUCUACAGACUAAAUGAAUCCUACAACAAAAUUCUAUGUAAGUUACAUCAUGUGAAGGUAAUGAUCUGGUGAUGAGAAUUUUGCUGACAAGUCUGUGGAAGAGAAGGCUUCACUAAAUCUGACUUGUAGUAAGGAGACUCUGGAAGAGCUUAGGAUUCGUUUGCACAAAUGGGUCACACAAGAAACAAACAGAUAUGAGUAAAUGGACAUGGAGAAACGUAGUCAAAAUAGUUGAUAAUUUCCAUGAACACGAGACUGUAACUCUACGAGCAAGUCUCUUCGAAACUGGAGUUUUCUACACUGCUAAGCUACUUUCUACAAUUUCAAAAGCAACUGAUUCUACUACUACUGUAAAUACUAUAUAUCGUGGUGCUAAUGCUAUAAGUAAUUAGACAUUCCUUAGUAAAAUAAAAUUUAUCAAACAAGGUUAUAGAAACGUGACGGAGAAUUGUAGAGAGAAUAUGAUCAUGCUAAGGAAUGGACUUGAGAAGACAGAAACGUUCAACAUCGUAUCAAAGAACGAGGGAGUGCCGCUUGUCGCUUUCUCCUUGAAAGAUAGCAGCUCUCACACUGAGUUCGAAAUCUCCGACAUGUUCGCAGGUUAGUUUUUAUUUGAGACAGAAACUCUAUGAAAUAUUCUAAAGACAGGUGUCAUUUGAUAAACAAUAAUUCCUUAAAAUAAUUAUAUAAGUGAAUGAAAAUAUAUAAAAAAAUUUGUAAUUAUUUUUUGAAAAGUUUAGCAAUGGAGAUGCUCUAAUAUCUCAAAUACUCUUUCACAUUUCGAAAGGUUUCACUUUGAUAUGAUUCAUGCACUUGAGAGUAAAUACAUAAGUUAGACGUUAAUUGAUACUUCAAAGAUUCAUAAAAAUAAGUAACUAGAUUUGUGUUUGAAUAUGAUGUAUCGAAAACUUGUCUGUUUAUAUAUUGAAAUGUAGGUACGGAUGGAUAGUACCGGCGUAUACAAUGCCUCCUAACGCACAACACAUAACAGUUCUUCUAGUGGUCAUCAGAGAAGAUUUUUCAAGAACACUCGCUGAGAGAUUUGUAAUCGAUAUUGAGAAAGUGAUGCGUGAGCUCGAUGAGCUUCCUUCACGAGUAAUCCAUAAAAUUUCGCUAGGCACUACAAGAAAACAUCGGUAUUCUGACGGACAUUCCGAUGGAAAAUGAAAUCCUCAGAAUUUCCUGAGGAAUUUCCGAGGAAAUUCCGAGGAAGCCCAAAUUUUGGGUUUCCUCGGAAUUUCCUCGGAAUAUACCGACGGAAUUCCGAGGAAACAUUAAUCCGUCGGUAUAUUCCGAGGAAAUUCCGAGGAGAAAUGUGUUCCUCACAAAAUUCCGAGGAAAUUUCGACGAACAAGUGACCGAUCGAUGCGUUUUUGGACAUAUACCCAUCGAUCGAUCACAUUGUUACGCUUUGGUCCAUCUUAGUGAUCGAUCGAUGCGUUUUUGGACAUAAAUCCAUCGAUCGAUGCGUUUAUAAAAAAACAUUUGAGAUUUUGAAACCCCAAACACUAGUUCCUCGGAAUUUCCUCGGAAUAUUCCGAGGAAAUUCCGAGGAACACUUGAUAUUCUAGAUCUAUCGAUGGGAUAAUCUCAUCGAUCGAUCACAUUCUUACGGUCCGGUCUAUCUUAGUGAUCGAUCGAUGCGUUUUUGGACAUAUAUCCAUCGAUCGAUCCGUUUAUAAAAAAACUUACAAGAUUUUCCGAGGACAUUCCGAGGAACAACUAAUACUAUACGUUAUAAUGACCUGUAUAGGCCAUUUACUCAUUUUGUGUUAAAAAAAAAAGACCAGACAAUACUAUUCAAGAAAAUACUCCACAAGAUUUGUAACUAAUUCAUUGUAAAUUUGAACAAAGAUUUAAAAAAAAAAAAAAAAAUUGUAACAAAGAAUGUGUGGAGAAGAGUAAUCAGUGUUGUAGAGGAUGGAUUCGACCAUCCCACAGGGCCCGAGGAAUAGGAAGGCCUGGCCCGAGUUAGGAAGAGCGACGGCUCGAUCUGUCGGCUCGAGAGUCAGGUCUCUCGGCUUGACUCUUGAGUACUUCUAGCUGACCAUCGUCGACUGAAGAGCGUUCGGCUCAGCGGUUGCUCGAACACCUACGGGCCUCUCGGCCCAGCAAAGGAGGCCCACCAAGAUGGCGUAAAAUUAGGUCAAGAGCGAAGCAUCGGGACGUCUAUAUAAGGGAAAGAAGAGGCAACGAGAAGGGGAUCCAAAAAUACUGACCAAGACUUGACGGCUAGAUUAGGGUUUUUCACCUUUACUUCGUCUCGCCGUUAAUUAUACUUCUCCGGUAGCUUGUCGAGCCACCGGUUUCCUUUCUGUCGCACUCUCCUCUUAUUUCCUUGUAACCGAUCGAACGUUUUCUCUCCGACCAUCAAUAAGACGUCUUUGUUUAAGCCCACAUCUUAUUUAUUACCGUUUCACGAUCAAACAUUUAUAAAACAUUUUUUUAUUUAUAAACACUAUUUUAUUAUUUUUUGUAUUUAUAAAAACUAUUUUGUAUUUAUAAAAAGAUGAUUUCAUAUUUAUAAAAAUAUUUAUAUUUAUUAAAACUAAUUUUGUAUUUAUAAAACAUUUUUUUAUUUAUAAAAACUAUUUUAUUAUUUUUUGUAUUUUAAAUAUGUUUUCUAUUUCAAUUUUAAUUUUAUAUUUUUGAAUUUCAAUUUAAAAAAAUAAAUUUAUAAUUUUUUUUUUUAUUUUGGAAAUAUUCCGAGGAAGUGUAUCCCUCGGAAUAUUCCGACGACAUCUUCCUCGGAAUAUUCCGAGGAAUUUCCGACGAAAAAAGUCCUCAGAAUAUUCCGAGGAAAUUCAUUUCCUCGGAAUUCCGUCGGAAAUUUCCGAGGAAUUUCCGAGGAAAGAUGAAUUUCCGAGGAGUUAUUUCCGAUGACUUUUUUCGUCGGUAUGUCGUUGGAAUAGCGUUAUUCCGACGACAUACCGACGAUUUUUUUCCUCAGUAUGCCGCUGUUUUCUUGUAGUGAGGAGAGGAGAAGAGUGAAGCUGACGGCGAUAACUUGAUGGUGACGGUGAAGAAAAGCGAUAUGGAGAAGCAGAGAAAGAUCAUCAAUGGCUGGAAGAAGUUUGUUUCCGACAGGAAGACGACAAAUGGUAUCUGUUAACUAAGUAAUAUAUGAUGAAAAUGUUUGGACUGCUUUAUCAAUAAUGCAUUUGCAUUAAUUCGGAAAUUGAAGGUUUUUUACUUUGUUGUUGUUGAACAAUUAAAGUUUCGUUUGAUUAAUACUUGAAUAUAUUUUGAUAUUAUUGCGACAUUUUGAAUAAAGUUUCUGUGUUUUUGUUAUUAGUUUGUCAUCCAUUACAAAUAGGAUUGGUGAGUCUAGUAAAUGCAUAAUAUUUGGCUUAUAAUAGACUUGCUAAUUAUCUUCAAAUAAAAACAGUCUUAUUAUAAUUGAACUUUUAUAAUGUGCAACAAUAAUCAAACGAAAAGUUACACAAUGAAGUAGUAAACUUUUUUGAUCGAGAAAUGAGAUUUAUUUAUGAUAUUUUUCAAAUAAACUCUAAGCCGGAGAAGGAGCAGUAGCAUCGUGGCUAGAGCAAUGUUUCUUAACAUAGUUGUUAACGAAAGGGUUACGGAACGAUCUGAAAACCGUAUGUUUACAAUUUUCAUUCAAUGUUUUGAUCAUGGCGCAACAUUCAGAAUCAACGGUUGGUUUUCCGGUUAACGUCUUCAUCAAACAUUUUGUUACCAUCUUGUAACUGGAAAAGCACUCCUUUAAUUCCUGAUUUGGGCUGUGUUUGUUAAUAGCCGAGGGCGCGUGAGCGUAACCCGACCAUUGGAGCUCUUCGCCAUCUGUUAGGUCAAGAAAUUGAGAUGUGACACAGCUUGAAAAAAGAACCAUAGCAACAAAAAUUGUGAGAUUCUUCAUUUUCUUUUGAUUACUUGUCGGUGUGAAAUUGAGAAAAAGUGAAUAUGCUUUUAGUUUUGGAUGACUUUAAAAUGAAACUACGUCAGUGUUUAUAUAGAAGUUUACAAUGAAUACUUUUAUAGCACAUACAAACAAAACAUAGAAAAGAAUCAUGACCAGUUAUGUAAGAAAUUGUUAUUAUUCAAUUAAGGACAUAAAUCUAUAAAAUUUGCAUGUUGUUAACCCAAAAAAUUGUAUAAUAUCUUAAUGACCAAAAAUAUGGUAUAAAAUAUUUAUCUAUUAAUAUUAUUAUUUGAUAAGUGAAUUUGUUUACUUGUCAUCUUCUCCAUGAUUUUAGGUUAAAUCAAUAGUUUUAAUAAACAAUUUUAAUUAGACUAAUUAAAUAUCUUUAAUUUCAUUUAUAUUUGUAUGUUAAUAUGAUUUUUUCGUGGUAUUUUCAUUUCAUUUUUAUUUUUCUUUGUACUUUCAUUUUUAUUUGUAUUAUUGUUCUUAUGGUUUUCGUGGUAUUUUAAUUUUUUUUCUUAAUAUUCAGUUAAUAGAAUAAAAUUUAUUUGUUAUUUAAUUUAAAAUUUUUUAUAUUAUUUUAUAUUGGGAAUUAAAUUAUAUUUUUUAAAUAUUUUCAAAAUACCAGUAUCCAAAAGAGAAUAUUUUCAAAAAAAAAAAUUUGAUUUACAACAAGUACCUUAUACAGUAUUUAUAAACAUUAAAAUUAACUUUAUUUAAUUUUAAUGUUUUCAAGAGUUUCACAGAAUUAUAACGUUGUUUAAUUUAAAAUGUAAAGAAAAAUGUGAUUCUCUUUUUUUAUAAACUGCAUUUUCUAAAAUGAUUUUUAUUAGUUAUAAUAUUAAAGUUUGAAAGUUAAAAGAUUAUUUAAUAAUAACAAAUUAUGAUUUUGUAAUAAAGAAAUACUAUUUUAUAGGAAAAUAUCAAUCUCUAUUUUAAAGUAAAAAUAUAGAUUUACUAUAGCUUAUUUUCUCAAUUAUAACAUUUAGAAAUGAAAAUAACAAUAAAUAUAAAAUGUUCUUAUCUUAUGCAUUAUAUAUUAAUGUUUUGUUUGUCAAUAUGAUUGGUCUGUUUGAGUGUUUAUACAAUUAUUAUGGAGGUAUGUUACAGUAUAAUUAUAUAUAUAUAUACCAAUAAUUUUAUUUACUCUGAUUAAUAUAUAUAAUAUAUAAAAUUGGGUUUGGUUUAACAUUCUUAUGCUUUUGAUUUAUUUGAAAUUUUUUGGUUUUGAUAAUUCCAAAAAUUUGGUUUAAUAACAUCACUUAAUAUUAAAAGUUGUAUUUUUUUUAUUUAAUUAAGAAAAAAAUUGAGAAUGACGCUUGGAAGAUGCACAAAGUUUUAUAAAUUAAUAUAAUAAAAACUGGUUAAAGAUAACAACAUAUUUUAAAAUAAAAAAUAUUAAUGUUGUCAUCCAAAAUAAUGUCUUUAAAUCAAUAAACGGUAAAAAUUAAGAAAUUGAAAGAUUCAUAAAAUAGUAUAAAUUUAAUAUUUUAUUUAAGUUUUUUGAUCUUUAAACUAAUAGUACACGGUGGCUGACCUAGCAUCAUAUGUAGUUGGAAGCACAAUACUAAAAAAAAAAACAAAAACAAAAAUAUUACGGACUGGGGGAACUUUUUUUUGUUUAUUCAGUAAACUAAAAACAAUAUAAUCAAAUUAGAACUUAUAUUUGGACUGCUAUCAAUAAUGCAUCUGCACUAAUUCGGAGAUUUGAAGGUUUUCACUUUAUUGUUGUUGAACAAUUUGAUUAGUACUUGUAAUAUUUUUUGAUAUUAUUGCGACAUUUUGAAUAAAGUUUCUGUGUUUUUGUUAUUAGUUUUUCAUCCAUUACAAAUAUGAUUAAUGAGUCUAGUAAAUGCAUAAUAUUUGGCUUAUAAUAGUGUUGCUAAUUAUCUUCAAAUAAAAAAACUAAUUAUAAUUGAACUUGUAUCAUCAUUUAUAAUGUGCAAUAAUAAGCCAAAAAAAAAAUGUUACACAAUCUAGUAGUAAUUAACUCUUGAUCGAUACAUAGAUUUAUUUAUUAUAAUAAUUUUGUAAUUAAACUUUGUAUCAUCGCUUUAUAAUGUGCAAAAAUAAGCAAAAAAAAGUUACACAAUACAAGAGAUUUAUUUAUAAUAUAUUUUUUAGAUGAACUCUAAGCCGGAGCAGGAGCACUGUAGCUAGAGCAAUGUUUCUCGACAUAGUUGUUAACAAAAGGGUUACGGAAGGUUUUGAAAACCGUAUGCUUACAAUUUUCAUUCAACGUCUUGAUUGUGGCGCAACAUUCAGAACCAACUGUUGGGUUUUUGGAUAACGUCUUCAUCAAACAUUUUGUUACCAUCUUGUAACUGGAAAAACACUCUUUUAAUUCCCGAUGUGGGCUGUGUUUGUGGGUAGCCGAGGGCGCCUGAGAGUAACCCGACCAUUGGAGCUCUUCGUCAUCUGUUGGGUCGCGGAAUUGAGAUGUGACACAGCUUGAAAAAAGAAUUAUAGCAACAAAAAGUGUGAGAUUCUUCAUUUUCUUUGGAUUCUUUGUCGAUGUGAAAUUGAGAAAAAAUGAAUAUGCUUUUAGUUUUGGAUGGCUUUAAGAUGAAACUAUGUCAGGGAUUAUAUAGAUGUUUACAGUGAAUACUUUAUAGCAUAUUCAAACAAAACAUAGAAAGAAUCAUGACUAGUUAUGUAAGAUAUUGUUUAUAUUCGUUUAAGGACAUAAAUCUAAAAUAUCUGACUAGUCAUGUUGUUAACCCAAAAAGAUUGUAUAAUAUCUUAAUGUUGACCAAAAACAUGGUAUGAUAUCAUAAUAAUAUUCUAUGGUCACCUUAUAAAGUGGAAAAACAUCAAAUUAACAUUGCCUAUUAGAAUAUUCUCAUUUACACAACGUUAUCCCAAAAAUAAUAAUAAUAAAUUAGGAUAAGGUUCACAAAUUAAAUCUAAAAAGAUAACUACAAACACAUGACAUAAACCCCUUACUAGAUUUUAAUCCGCACACCCGUGCGGGUAACAUUUCAUUUAUAAAUAUAAAUUUGUAUAUUAUUUUGUAUAUAAUAAUUUAUGAUAAUAUAUUGUUGUCAUUUUAAAAAUAACUAAAUAGAUGAUAUAUACUUCUAAAUAUUAAAAUUUAACAUAUGUUGACAAUUUUAUUUUUUGUGAAAAUUAUUACAUAAUUUAUGAAUAUUAAUCAUUUUAAAAGUUGAAUGAUAUUUUAGUCACUUUAAACGGUGAAUGAUAUUUUAUUUAUUUAUAUUAAUGAAAGUAUUUUUUCAAAAUAUAAUGGUUUACCAAUUCAACAUAAUUUUAAUAUGUUUGCAAAAAAACAUAAUUUUAAUAUGUAAUUCAUUAAUUACUUCUAUUUUAAUAUAAUGUAGGGUAUCAGAGCCUACUUGCGUAAUACUGAAAUCAAAUCUUAUUUAGUCUAUAAUUUGGUAUAGAUAAAUAAUCUUAUAGUUUCAACGAGAAUUAAAUUGGCGUAGUUAUCAAUUUCGCAGAAGCGUAAUCUGAUUCGUGCGUAAGAACAAUAUGUUGUUAAAAUAACCAUUAAGCGUUAGUGCUUCUCUUUAUUGAAAAAUGCAUGGUUAUUUGUUAAUUGAUAAUAGUUUUGUUUGAUGCGAUCAAUCCAACUAUUAUAAUUAACCGAUUAAGAAUAUCUAGAUAUACGCGUUGUCAUGUGAUGAUCUUGUUCAUGUUGCAUACAUAUAAUUUCAAGAGGCAAUCGUAUUACUGUAAUACUUGAAUGCGUGUUUCUAAAUUAACCUAAAACACAUAUGAGAUGUGUAUAUACCAAUUGAACCAAUGAUUGGUUUAGGUUGUUUAAUACAAUUGGUUUGGUCCAAUUGGGUUGGUCGUUUGAUCAGAUUUUAAUUAGAUUAAAUUCUAAAAUCAAAUAUAUAAAUAAUUAAUUAUUUUAAUUAGAUUAAAUUAAUUUAAUUAUUUAUAAUUCAAUUAAAAUACAUAUAAGAUAUGUAUUAGUUAUAUUUAUAUUUAUAUUAGAUAUAAAUUUUAAAUAUAAGUUCAAAUUGAAUUAAAAUUUGUUCCUCAAUUAAUUUCAAGUACUUUUGAUGUCUACCCAAACUUAUCAACUAUCAUGGCUUGUUUCGUUGUAAGAUGGGUUUGACAAAGCAAUGUGUCUGCAAUUACAUAAGUGACGUAGAUGGUAACGGUUACCAUAUGAAUAUAAGACUGGUUUACUUGACUAGGCUAUCAAAACGGUUUUGGGUGGAAUAUAGGUGGAAUCCUCAAGCCAUUUCCACAUGUUGGUUGUGUAAAACGGAAGCUGAGACUCGUGACCAUUUAUUUUUUGAGUGUUCUUACUCUAAGGAAGUCUGGAUUGGAACCAUUAAACAUUUGGCAGGGCAUGGAGAAGUGUAUAAAUGGGAUCGAGUGCUUCGGAUUGUUGAGAAGGGAUUACACAAGCGGAGUUCGACUGUGCUACUGCGUUAUUGCUUUCAGGCCGUGGAUUAUGCGAUAUGGCAUGAGAGGAAUGUGAGAAGAGUUGGUGAGGCAUCGCAGCCAGCUACUUGUCUGAUCGCAAAGCUUGAUAAGCUUAUUAGAAACAGAAUAUCUUCAUUGAGAAGGAGGGAAGGAGGAAAAUAUGAGAAAAUGAUGGAGGAUUGGGUUGACAGAGACUAGUGGAGCUUGGGAGUUAUAGAAAGCAUAAUUCUUUCGGUUUUCAUUUAUGUCCUUGAAUAUAGCAGCAGAUGAAACUCGGUACAAAGGUUUUUUUUUAUUUGAAUAAAUUUAAAAUUCUUUCACAAAAAUGCAUAAUAUUUGGCUUAUAAUAGUGUUGAUAAUUAUCUUCAAAUAAAAAACUUAUUAUAAUUGAACUUGUAUCAUUAUUUUAUAAUGUGCAACAGUAAGCAAAAAAAAAGUUACACAAUCUAGUAGCAAUUAGCUCUUUUGAUCGAUGCAAGAGAUUUAUUUAUUAUAUUAUUUUAUAAAUGAACUUGUAUCAUCAUUUUAUAAUGUGCAACAAUAAGCAAAAAAAAAAAAGGUUAGGCAAUGUAGUAGUAAACUAUUUUUGAUCGAUACAAGAGAUUUAUUUAUGAUAUUUUUCAAAUGAACUCUAAGCCGGAGUAGGAGCAUCAUAGUUAGAGCAAUGGUUCUCGACAUAGUUGUCAACAAAAGGGUUCUGGAACGAUCUGAAAACCGUAUGCUUACAACUUUCAUCCAACGUUUUGAUCGUGGCGCAACAUUCAGAACCAACGGUUGUUUUUUUGGUUAACGUCUUCAUCAAACAUUUUGUUACCAUCUUGUAACUGGAAAAGCACUCCUUUAAUUGCUGAUUUGGGCUGUGUUUGUGGGUAGCCGAGGGCGCCUGAGCGUAACCCGACCAUUGGAGCUCUUCGUCAUCUGUUGGGUCAAUGAAUUGAGAUGUGACACAGCUUGAAAAGAGAAUUAUAGCAACAACAAUUGUGAGAUUCUUCAUUUUCUUUGGAUUCUUUGUCUAUGUGAAAUUGUGAAAAAUGAGUAUGUUUUUAGUUUUGAAUGGCUUUAAGAUGAAGCUAUGUCAGGGAUUAUAUAGAAGUUUACAAUGAAUACUUUCAUAGCAUAUACAAACAAAACAUAGAAAGAAUCAUGACAAGUAAUGUAAGAUAUUGUCUAUAUUCGUUUAAGGACAUAAAUCUAAAAUUUUCAUGUUGUUAACCCAAGAAGAUCGUAUAAUAUCUUAAUGUUGACCAAAAAUAUGGUAUAGUAUCAUAAUAAUAUUAUAUGGUCAUCUAAUAUUAAGGAAAAACAGCAUAUUAACAUCGCCUAUCAGAAUAUUCUCAUUUGCUCAGCAUUAUCCCCCCAAAAAUCAAAAAUUAGGAUAAGGUUCACAAAUUAAAUCUAAAAAGAUAACUACAAACACAAACACAUGACAUAAACCCCUAAUACUCGUGUUGACUCAGAAUAUCGAGGCAUAUAAUCUUGCACAUGGUACUCGGAGUCAACAUUCGUACUUUGUCCACAUGGACACAUAAUCUCCGGUUUGAUUAGUAAAGUCUCAUGUUUAUAUUGAUAACAAAAAAAUAGAGUCGUCAUUAAUUUAAAAUAAUCUUCAGUUCAAUUUAACGAUAUGAUUCAGACUAUAUUUGUUUUGUAUAGAAGAAAAACUGAAUUCUGCCAAAAAUAAUAAGCUAGUAUGUAUUGAAAUAUAGCCGACAACCAAAAAUAUUAUAGCGACAACAAAACUCAACCUAAAAUCAUUCUUUUUUGAAGCUUUAAGACUAUUAUUUUGCAACUUGCAAGUUCAACAAAUAAGCUUGUAAUCACUGUUCUCUACUUUCUGUUUAAGCUUCAGCAGAAAACAAACCAUCAUAGUCUAUUGGAAAAAAGCCAAAAAGCCAAACUUUCAAAUUAGCUUUUAAAUUUAUGUAGCUUAUUAUUCUUCUCUUAUCUGUUAAAGUUAAACAUAUUAAAAAAACUUACCAAAGUUGCCUAACUUCUAACUUCUCUUGACAAAAUUAAAAAUAACAUUGUCCGGAAAAUAUUAUAAAUUAAAAAACGUGUUCGGCCAUUUACAACUUGUAACUUUCAUGUAGAGUAAAGUAACAAGAAAAAUUAAAAAAGAGUUGUUGGCCAGAGACUAGUGAAAACACGGCAAUACAUUUGAAUUAUAACAAAAUUGAAAUAUAUACGCGCAUUCAACCAUAUCAUGUCAACGUGUAUAUGCACAAUUGUCUAUCUCCACCUUGCAGAUAACAUUAUUAUAAUAUAAUAUUUCUAUAACAGACUGUAAACUAUAUCUUCCUCGAACAUUCUUUUCUAUAUAUAUACACACUUAUAUCUUCCUGGAUCCUGUCCUAACACACACUUACCCCUUUCCUCUCUUAGAUCUUUCUUCACAUAAUGGGAAACUACGCUUCUUGUGCUCUAAGCAACAUAACGCCUUCUUCUUCUUCAAAAGUGAUUCUCCCUGACGGUGAAGUGCGUCACAUUCACGCGCCGACUAAAGCCGCUGAGCUUAUGAUGGAGAUUCCGAGCUUCUUCCUCGUCGACGCCAAAACGUUAAAGCUCGGUCGGAAACUUAAACCGUUAGCCGCCGACGACGAUCUGCAAACUAGAGGCUGUCCCGUGUACGUUGCUUUUCCUAUGACGCGUGCCACCACGUCAGCAGCAAACGCUUCGGACAUGGCUCGGUUGUUUUUAGCCGCCAAGAAACAACAGCGCAGACGAGUCAGAACAGCGGUGAAACACUGUCAUAACGGAAGGAUUUCGCCGGAGGGAGAGGAGGAUGUCAAGAUGGUAUCGGUGGGAUCUAAUCUGAUGAGUUUAGAAGACACUGAUGAGUUUUCGGCGGCGGAGUUUAUGCAUAGAAUCUCGAAUUCGAAAUCUAAGAAACCGAAGCUGGAAACCAUAGCUGAAGAAGAAUCUGUCUUAAACGGACUUGAAAUCAAACAAUUAUUGGAACUUGAUUUUUUCAACGCUUUUUUUAAUAUUAGUUAUUGUUCUCGUUUGUAGUGUUACUGAUGAGUGAUGAGAAUGGACAUGUAAUGAUAAAGUUCUUUAAUUUUAUGUAACUGUAAAUUAAUAAUCUUAAGCUCUUAAACCCGUUAUGAUAAUGUCUACAACAUUUUUAUAGUAUUUGUUUUUCAAUCAGUAUUUAAUAAUUUAAUGAAUCCUAAAAAUCAAAAUUACACCACCUUUUAUUUAUUUUUCUUAAAACAACUAUUAAAAUGAUUUAAAAGUUGUAGUAGGUAUUUCUACAAAAAAAACAUACAGUUACAAUCAGAGCUGGUCCUAGAAUAUUUAAGACCAUAAGCAAAAAACAAAAAAGUGGCUGGAACUGUACCAACUAAUGGUUGAAGCUAUGAUCUGAGGAAGGUGAAAUGAGUGAGCAUUGCCACUAGAGACUAAAGAGGAUACACGGAUUAUGUGGCCGAAAAGUAUUUGUCACAAAAUAAACGGCCACAAGCAAUUGCUUCAUUCGCUUGAUGCUAGAUUCCACAAGCAAGUCUUUGCUGUUAUAUCUUUCAAAACUGGAGUUUCUACAAUUUCAAAGCAACUUUCUACAACUUCAUAGCAACUGAUUCUACUACUACUGUUACAAGGCUAAAAGAAAACUAUUGUAUCCUCAAGAUCACGGUUGCUGCUGGUAUCGAUUGAAUAUGAAUCUCUUAGCUUGCAACCUCUUGAAAAGCAGUGAAUGUCUUAAAACAUGUUGAAUAUCCCUUCACGCGAUCCAAACCAUGCCCCAUGAACAAUGCCAUCUUUCACGUCUCCUUGCCCUGAAAAAUCCAACACUACAAGUUUCUGAUUCCACGUGAUAAAAAAAGAAGUCGAGAAGCAGGAGAGGAAGGAUCAGUGUGUAUCACCUUCAACCGAAGACCAACACACAACUGAAGGGAUACUGUCGGAGAAUUUAUUUUCAGACAGAAGUUGGCCAGAUUUGAUACACCAAACGCGAGUGUGGCAGUCAUCUCCUCCUGAAAACAGACAUACAAAGAACCAAAAAAACACUAAAGUCAUAACACUGAAACCAAACUCGUAAUGAUUUUUCAAGCUAAAUUAUUAUUUUUUUUUCACAGAAGAAAGGGUUCAUUUUUUUAAUUACCUGACAUAAUAAAUCUUUCUGAUGGGUCAAUGCCAAAUUUGAUGCGAGUAUGAGAAUUUACAUGUCCUUCAUAUUUCUGUACAACUAAUAUUUAUAGUUAGUUAAUUAUUCUAUAUUGAAAAAAAUAUAAAUACCACCAAAUAUAUAUUGACCACAAGAACACAUGUGUUCAGAAAUCAUCAGAUUUAAAAUAUGAAAACAUAAUUUUUUUAAUAAAUAUUUCACCCUACGUAAAUCACAAGUCUUAUCCUAAUAUAUUAUUAAUAUAUAAUGAAAAUGUUUAGCCUGCUUUAUCAAUAAUGUAUUUGCACUAAUUUGGAGAUUUGAAGGUUUUCACUUUAUUGUUGUUGAACAAUUUGAUUAGUACUUGUAAUAUUUUCUGAAUAAAGUUUCUCUGUUUUUGUUAUUAGUUUGUCAUCCAUUUUUUUUUUUUUUUUGAUAAUCCAGUAUCCGACCACUUUUGCGUGAUCGACUAGCCCACCGGGCCUAAGCUCAUGCCAUUACAGGAUUUUUAAGCCUCCACUUAAGGGUCUCUGGUUACGCAAAGUGGUCUGGAGGGCGAGAGGAGCCCAUGUAAAUCCUCUCGUGGCCAACGCGAAUCGAACCCGGGACCGUAUCGGGGCCGAAGCUCCCUCAAGUACCACUAGGCCAACUCGAGUUGGUUAGUUUGUCAUCCAUUACAAAUAUGAUUAAUGAGUCUAGUCAAUGCAUAAUAUUUGGCUUAUAAUAGUGUUGCUAAUUAUCUUCAAAUAAAAAAACUUAUUAUAUUUGAACUUGUAUCAUCAUUUUACAAUGUGCAACAAUAAGCAAAAGAAAAAGUUAUACAAUCUAGUAGUUAUUAACUCUUUUGAUCGAUACAUAGAUUUAUUUAUUAUCAUAUUUUUAUAAUUGAAAUUUGUAUCAUCUUUCUAUAAUGUGCAACAAUAAACAAAAAAAAAGUUACACAAUGUAAUAGUAAACUCUUUUUGAUCGAUACAAGAGAUUUAUUUAUGAUAAUUUUAAAUGAACUCUAAGCCGGAGCAGGAGCAUCAUGGCCAGAGCAAUGCUUCUUAACAUAGUUGUUAACGAAAGGGUUACGGAACGAUCUGAAAACCGUAUGCUUACAACUUUCAUUCAACGUCUUGAUCGUGGCGCAACAUCCAGAACCACCGGUUGGUUUUUUGGUUAACGUCUUCAUUAAACAUUUUGUUACCAUCUUGUAACUGGAAAAACACUCUUUUAAUUCCUGAUUCGGGCUGUGUUUGUGGGUAGCCGAUGGCGCCUGAGCGUAACCCGACCAUUGGAGCUCUUCGUCAUCUGUUGGGUCGAGGAAUUGAGAUGUGACACAGCUUGAAAAGAGAAUCAUAGCAACAAAAAGUGUGAGAUUCUUCAUUUUCUUUGGAUUUUUGUCGAUGUGAAAUUGAGAAAAAAAUGAAUAUGCUUUUAGUUUUGGAUGGCUUUAAGAUGAAGCUAUGUCAGGGAUUAUAUAGAUGUUUACAAUGAAUACUUUUAUAGCAUAUUCAAACAAAACAUGGAAAGAAUCAUGACUAGUUAUGUAAGAUAUUGUUUAUAUUUGUUUAAGGACAUAAAUCUAAAAUAUCUGACUAGUCAUGUUGUUAACCCAAAAAGAUUGUAUAAUAUCUUAAUGUUGACCAAAAACAUGGUAUAAUAUCAUAAUAAUAAUAUUCUAUGAUCAUCUUAUAAUGAAGAAAAGCAGCAAAUUAACAUUGCCUAUCAGAAUAUUCUCAUUUGCACUACGUUAUCCCAAAAAUAACAAUAAUAAAUUAGGGUAAGGUUCACAAAUUAAAUCUAAAAGAUAACUACAAACACAUGACAUAAACCCUUUACACUCUUGCUCUCGAAACUCAGAAUACAAGGACAUAUAUUUUUGCACGUGGUAUUCAGAGUUAACCUUCCUAUUUUGUUCACAUAGACACAAAGUUUGUAGUUUGGUUAGUGUCAAUCGAAUAUGUUUAUGUUGAACAAAAAAACCAGAGUCGUCAUUAAUUCAAAAUAAUCUUCAAUUCAAUCACGAUGUAAUUUAGAUUAUAUUUGUUUUGUAUAGAAUAAAAACUAAAUUCAACCAAAAUAAUAAAAACUAGUAUGUAUUGAAAUAAAGCUGACAACCAAAACUAUUUUAGCGACAAAAAAAAUACUAAACCUAAAAAUCAUUCCUUUUUGAAGCUUUAAAACUAUUAUUUUGCAACUUGCAAGUUCAACUAAUAAGCUUGUAGUCACUGUUCUCUACUUUCUGUCUAAGUUUCAGUAGAAAACAAACCAUCACAGUCAUUAACCAUAUAGCUUUGAAUGAUGUAGCUUAUUAUUCUUCUGAUCUCAGUUAAAGUUAACAUAUAAAAAUAUUAACCAAAGUUGCAUAACUUCUAACUUCUCUUGACAAAAUUAUAAACAAUAUUGUCCGGAAAAUAUUAUAAAUUAAAAACCUGUUCGGCCAUUUGCAACUUGUAACUUCCAUGUAAAGUGACAAUAAAAAUUAAAAAAAAAAAAAGAGUGAUGGCCAGAGACUAGUGAAAACACGGCAAAACAUUUGAAUAUAAUAAAAUGGAAAUAUACGCGCAUUCAACCAUAUUGUCAACAUGGUAUACGCACAACUGUCUAUCUCCACCUUGCAGAUAACAUUAUAAAAAAUAAUAAUCUAUAACUAUUAUCUUACUCGAACAUUCUUUUCUAUAAAUAUACACACUUACGUCUUCCUGGAUCCUGUCCUAACACACACUUAACCCUCUCCUUCUCUUCGAUCCUAUCUUCACAUAAUGGGAAACUACGCUUCUUGCGCUCUAGGCAACACAACCUCUUCUUUUUCUUCUUCUUCCUCUUCAAAAGUGAUUCUCCCAGACGGUGAAGUGCGUCACAUUCACGCGCCGACUAAAGCGGCUGAGCUUAUGAUGGAGAUUCCGAGCUUUUUUCUCGUCGACGCCGAAACAUUAAAGAUCGGUCGGAAACUUAACCCGUUAGCCGCCGACGACGAUCUCGAAACUAGAGGCUGUCACGUGUACGUCGCUUUUCCUAUGACGCGUGCCACGUCAGCAGCAAACGCUUCGGACAUGGCUCGGUUGUUUUUAGCCGCCAAGAAACAACAGCGCCGACGAGUCAGAACAGCCGUGAAACACUGUCACAACGGAAGGAUUUCGCCGGAGGGAGAGGAGGAUGUCAAGAUGGUAUCGGCGGGAUCUAAGCUGAUGAGUUUAGAAGACAUUGAUGAGUUUUCUGCGGCGGAGUUUAUGCAUAGAAUCUCGAUUUCGAAGUCUAAGAAACCGAAGCUGGAAACCAUAGCUGAAGAAGAAUCUCUCUUAAGCGGACUUGAAAUCAAACAAUUAUUGGAACUUGAUUUUUUCAACGCUUUUUUUAAUUUUAGUUAUUGUUCUUGUUUGUAGUGUUAUUGAGAAUGAGCAUGUAAUGAUAAAGUUCUUUAAUUUUAUGUAAAUGUAAAUUAGUAAUCUUAAGCUCUUAACCAUUAUUUUUAUAGUAUUUGUUUUUCAUCAGUAUUUAAUUAAUAAUUUAAUGAAUGCUAAAAUCAAAAUUACACCAUCUUUUAUUUUUUUUCUUAAAACAACUAUUAAAAUGAUUUAAAAGUUGUAGUAUAUAGGUAUUUAUACAGAAAAAAACAUACAGUUACAAUAAUAAAAUCUACAGACUAAAUGAAUCCUACAACAAAAUUCUAUGUAAGUUACAUCAUGUGAAGGUAAUGAUCUGGUGAUGAGAAUUUUGCUGACAAGUCUGUGGAAGAGAAGGCUUCACUAAAUCUGACUUGUAGUAAGGAGACUCUGGAAGAGCUUAGGAUUCGUUUGCACAAAUGGGUCACACAAGAAACAAACAGAUAUGAGUAAAGGGACAUGGAGAAACGUAGUCAAAAUAGUUGAUAAUUUCCAUGAACACGAGACUGUAACUCUACGAGCAAGUCUCUUCGAAACUGGAGUUUUCUACACUGCUAAGCUACUUUCUACAAUUUCAAAAGCAACUGAUUCUACUACUACUGUAAAUACUAUAUAUCGUGGUGCUAAUGCUAUAAGUAAUUAGACAUUCCUUAGUAAAAUAAAAUUUAUCAAACAAGGUUAUAGAAACGUGACGGAGAAUUGUAGAGAGAAUAUGAUCAUGCUAAGGAAUGGACUUGAGAAGACAGAAACGUUCAACAUCGUAUCAAAGAACGAGGGAGUGCCGCUUGUCGCUUUCUCCUUGAAAGAUAGCAGCUCUCACACUGAGUUCGAAAUCUCCGACAUGUUCGCAGGUUAGUUUUUAUUUGAGACAGAAACUCUAUGAAAUAUUCUAAAGACAGGUGUCAUUUGAUAAACAAUAAUUCCUUAAAAUAAUUAUAUAAGUGAAUGAAAAUAUAUAAAAAAAUUUGUAAUUAUUUUUUGAAAAGUUUAGCAAUGGAGAUGCUCUAAUAUCUCAAAUACUCUUUCACAUUUCGAAAGGUUUCACUUUGAUAUGAUUCAUGCACUUGAGAGUAAAUACAUAAGUUAGACGUUAAUUGAUACUUCAAAGAUUCAUAAAAAUAAGUAACUAGAUUUGUGUUUGAAUAUGAUGUAUCGAAAACUUGUCUGUUUAUAUAUUGAAAUGUAGGUACGGAUGGAUAGUACCGGCGUAUACAAUGCCUCCUAACGCACAACACAUAACAGUUCUUCUAGUGGUCAUCAGAGAAGAUUUUUCAAGAACACUCGCUGAGAGAUUUGUAAUCGAUAUUGAGAAAGUGAUGCGUGAGCUCGAUGAGCUUCCUUCACGAGUAAUCCAUAAAAUUUCGCUAGGCACUACAAGAAAACAUCGGUAUUCUGACGGACAUUCCGAUGGAAAAUGAAAUCCUCAGAAUUUCCUGAGGAAUUUCCGAGGAAAUUCCGAGGAAGCCCAAAUUUUGGGUUUCCUCGGAAUUUCCUCGGAAUAUACCGACGGAAUUCCGAGGAAACAUUAAUCCGUCGGUAUAUUCCGAGGAAAUUCCGAGGAGAAAUGUGUUCCUCACAAAAUUCCGAGGAAAUUUCGACGAACAAGUGACCGAUCGAUGCGUUUUUGGACAUAUACCCAUCGAUCGAUCACAUUGUUACGCUUUGGUCUAUCUUAGUGAUCGAUCGAUGCGUUUUUGGACAUAAAUCCAUCGAUCGAUGCGUUUAUAAAAAAACAUUCGAGAUUUUGAAACCCAAAACUGUAGUUCCUCGGAAUUUCCUCGGAAUAUUCCGAGGAAAUUCCGAGGAACACUUGAUAUCCUAGAUCGAUCGAUGGGAUAAUCUCAUCGAUCGAUCACAUUGUUACGCUUUGGUCCAUCUUAGUGAUCGAUCGAUGCGUUUUUGGACAUAUAUCCAUCGAUCGAUCCGUUUUAAAAAAAAAAUUGACGUUUUGAAACCCCAAACACUAGUUCCUCGGAAUUUCCUCGGAAUAUUCCGACGGAAUUCCGAGGAAGAAAAGGGUUUCCUCGGAAUUCCCUCGGAAUAUUCCGAGGAAAUUCCGAGGAAAUAGGGUUUUUAAACCGAAAACAACGUUUUGCGGUUUGAAUAACACCUAUAUAACCCUUAUUAAGUGUCUUACGUUCAUUAUGAAGUCAAAAAUUUGUUCCUUACCCUAUAAUAAACACUUUUCCGAUUGUAUGAACGAAAUCCCUACAACAUAAGAGAAACACUUAUACACUUUAAUGAACGGUAAAUGGAAUACUUACAAUUCGUUUUGAAAUUUGUUAUUUCAUGGUUUAUGCUCAUCUAUACAAAGAAUCCUCAAUGGUAUGCAUUACAAUUGUAUAAGAAAUGAAAUACGGCAAAAAAAAUUGAUGUUUUGAAACCCCAAACACUAGUUCCUCGGUAUUUCCUCGGAAUAUUCCGAGGAAAUUCCGAGGAACAAUAUAAAUUAAUAGAAAUAUAUGCACAGGAUAUUCUUUUUCCUCGAAUUAAUGAAAAUAUUCUGAGGAAAUUCCGACGGAUAUUUAAGUGGCCGUCGGAAUUUUAUCGGAAUAUUUUCAUUUAACCGGGUAAACAAGCCGCCAAAUAUUUCGCGAAAAUUGAAAUUGAAAAUACUGAGGGAAUUCCGACGGAAAAUAUCCGUCAGACCGAAGGUUUUAUAAACUCGAACCGUAUCUUCUUCCCCAUUUCUCCCUUCUUCCUCUCCGGCGAUCUCUCUCUCCUUCCGGCGUUCUCCACCUUCUCUCGCGACGAUCUCUCCGGCGAAUCCUUUCCAUUCCCUUACAAAUCAUGUAAGGACCCUAUCCCACUCUCUUAGGUCCUAUUUGUUAGGUUUUUAAGUAGAUUUGAUGAUUUUAGAAGUUUUUUGAUAGAUUUUUGUUAGGGUGAUUGGGUAGGAUUGUGAUUUGUUGUGUAAUAGGUUUAGAAUUGUGAUUUGGUUGUGUUGAAUUGAUUUAGAACUUGUUUUAUAAAUUGUUUAUUAUUUUUGUAUUUACAAAAAGUUUUUUCUAUAUAAAUUCGAUUUUACAAAACGUUUUUGUAUAUAAAUUCGAUUUUUGGAUUUAUAAAAGAUGAUUUCAUAUUUAUAAAAAUAUUUAUAUUUAUUAAAACUAAUUUUGUAUUUAUAAAACAUUUUUUUUAUUUAUAAACACUAUUUUUUUUAUUUUUGUAUUUAUAAAAACUAUUUUUAAAUAUACAAAACAUUCUUUGUAUAUAAAUUCGAUUUUUGGAUUUAUAAAAGAUGAUUUCAUAUUUUAAAAUUAAUUUUGUAUUUAUAAAACAUUUUUUGAUUUAUAAACACUAUUUUAUUAUUUUUUGUAUUUAUAAGAACUAUUUUGUAUUUAUAAAAAGAUGAUUUCAUAUCUAUAAAAAUAUUUAUAUUUAUUAAAACUAAUUUUGUAUUUAUAAAAUAUUUUUUUGAUUUAUAAACACUAUUUUAUUAUUUUUUGUAUUUAUAAAAAGAUGAUUUCAUAUUUAUAAAAAUAUUUAUAUUUAUUAAAACUAAUUUUGUAUUUAUAAAACAUUUUUUUGAUUUAUAAACACUAUUUUAUUAUUUUUUGUAUUUAUAAAAAGAUGAUUUCAUAUUUAUAAAAAUAUUUAUAUUUAUUAAAACUAAUUUUGUAUUUAUAAAACAUUUUUUUUUAUUUAUAAAAACUAUUUUAUUAUUUUUGUAUUUUAAAUAUGUUUUCUAUUUCAAUUUUAAUUUUAUAUUUUUGAAUUUCAAUUUAAAAAAAUAAAUUUAUAAUUUUUUUUUUUAUUUUGGAAAUAUUCCGAGGAAGUGUAUCCCUCGGAAUAUUCCGACGACAUCUUCCUCGGAAUAUUCCGAGGAAUUUCCGACGAAAAAAGUCCUCAGAAUAUUCCGAGGAAAUUCAUUUCCUCGGAAUUCCGUCGGAAAUUUCCGAGGAAUUUCCGAGGAAAGAUGAAUUUCCGAGGAGUUAUUUCCGAUGACUUUUUUCGUCGGUAUGUCGUUGGAAUAGCGUUAUUCCGACGACAUACCGACGAUUUUUUUCCUCAGUAUGCCGCUGUUUUCUUGUAGUGAGGAGAGGAGAAGAGUGAAGCUGACGGCGAUAACUUGAUGGUGACGGUGAAGAAAAGCGAUAUGGAGAAGCAGAGAAAGAUCAUCAAUGGCUGGAAGAAGUUUGUUUCCGACAGGAAGACGACAAAUGGUAUCUGUUAACUAAGUAAUAUAUGAUGAAAAUGUUUGGACUGCUUUAUCAAUAAUGCAUUUGCAUUAAUUCGGAAAUUGAAGGUUUUUUACUUUGUUGUUGUUGAACAAUUAAAGUUUCGUUUGAUUAAUACUUGAAUAUAUUUUGAUAUUAUUGCGACAUUUUGAAUAAAGUUUCUGUGUUUUUGUUAUUAGUUUGUCAUCCAUUACAAAUAGGAUUGGUGAGUCUAGUAAAUGCAUAAUAUUUGGCUUAUAAUAGACUUGCUAAUUAUCUUCAAAUAAAAACAGUCUUAUUAUAAUUGAACUUUUAUAAUGUGCAACAAUAAUCAAACGAAAAGUUACACAAUGAAGUAGUAAACUUUUUUGAUCGAGAAAUGAGAUUUAUUUAUGAUAUUUUUCAAAUAAACUCUAAGCCGGAGAAGGAGCAGUAGCAUCGUGGCUAGAGCAAUGUUUCUUAACAUAGUUGUUAACGAAAGGGUUACGGAACGAUCUGAAAACCGUAUGUUUACAAUUUUCAUUCAAUGUUUUGAUCAUGGCGCAACAUUCAGAAUCAACGGUUGGUUUUCCGGUUAACGUCUUCAUCAAACAUUUUGUUACCAUCUUGUAACUGGAAAAGCAUUCCUUCAAUUCCUGAUUUGGGCUGUGUUUGUGGAUAGCGGAGGGUGCCUGAGAGUGACCCGACCAUUGGAGCUCUUCGACAUCUGUUGGGCCUGAUUUGGGCUGUGUUUGUUAAUAGCCGAGGGCGCGUGAGCGUAACCCGACCAUUGGAGCUCUUCGCCAUCUGUUAGGUCAAGAAAUUGAGAUGUGACACAGCUUGAAAAAAGAACCAUAGCAACAAAAAUUGUGAGAUUCUUCAUUUUCUUUUGAUUACUUGUCGGUGUGAAAUUGAGAAAAAGUGAAUAUGCUUUUAGUUUUGGAUGACUUUAAAAUGAAACUACGUCAGUGUUUAUAUAGAAGUUUACAAUGAAUACUUUUAUAGCACAUACAAACAAAACAUAGAAAAGAAUCAUGACCAGUUAUGUAAGAAAUUGUUAUUAUUCAAUUAAGGACAUAAAUCUAUAAAAUUUGCAUGUUGUUAACCCAAAAAAUUGUAUAAUAUCUUAAUGACCAAAAAUAUGGUAUAAAAUAUUUAUCUAUUAAUAUUAUUAUUUGAUAAGUGAAUUUGUUUACUUGUCAUCUUCUCCAUGAUUUUAGGUUAAAUCAAUAGUUUUAAUAAACAAUUUUAAUUAGACUAAUUAAAUAUCUUUAAUUUCAUUUAUAUUUGUAUGUUAAUAUGAUUUUUUCGUGGUAUUUUCAUUUCAUUUUUAUUUUUCUUUGUACUUUCAUUUUUAUUUGUAUUAUUGUUCUUAUGGUUUUCGUGGUAUUUUAAUUUUUUUUCUUAAUAUUCAGUUAAUAGAAUAAAAUUUAUUUGUUAUUUAAUUUAAAAUUUUUUAUAUUAUUUUAUAUUGGGAAUUAAAUUAUAUUUUUUAAAUAUUUUCAAAAUACCAGUAUCCAAAAGAGAAUAUUUUCAAAAAAAAAAAUUUGAUUUACAACAAGUACCUUAUACAGUAUUUAUAAACAUUAAAAUUAACUUUAUUUAAUUUUAAUGUUUUCAAGAGUUUCACAGAAUUAUAACGUUGUUUAAUUUAAAAUGUAAAGAAAAAUGUGAUUCUCUUUUUUUAUAAACUGCAUUUUCUAAAAUGAUUUUUAUUAGUUAUAAUAUUAAAGUUUGAAAGUUAAAAGAUUAUUUAAUAAUAACAAAUUAUGAUUUUGUAAUAAAGAAAUACUAUUUUAUAGGAAAAUAUCAAUCUCUAUUUUAAAGUAAAAAUAUAGAUUUACUAUAGCUUAUUUUCUCAAUUAUAACAUUUAGAAAUGAAAAUAACAAUAAAUAUAAAAUGUUCUUAUCUUAUGCAUUAUAUAUUAAUGUUUUGUUUGUCAAUAUGAUUGGUCUGUUUGAGUGUUUAUACAAUUAUUAUGGAGGUAUGUUACAGUAUAAUUAUAUAUAUAUAUACCAAUAAUUUUAUUUACUCUGAUUAAUAUAUAUAAUAUAUAAAAUUGGGUUUGGUUUAACAUUCUUAUGCUUUUGAUUUAUUUGAAAUUUUUUGGUUUUGAUAAUUCCAAAAAUUUGGUUUAAUAACAUCACUUAAUAUUAAAAGUUGUAUUUUUUUUAUUUAAUUAAGAAAAAAAUUGAGAAUGACGCUUGGAAGAUGCACAAAGUUUUAUAAAUUAAUAUAAUAAAAACUGGUUAAAGAUAACAACAUAUUUUAAAAUAAAAAAUAUUAAUGUUGUCAUCCAAAAUAAUGUCUUUAAAUCAAUAAACGGUAAAAAUUAAGAAAUUGAAAGAUUCAUAAAAUAGUAUAAAUUUAAUAUUUUAUUUAAGUUUUUUGAUCUUUAAACUAAUAGUACACGGUGGCUGACCUAGCAUCAUAUGUAGUUGGAAGCACAAUACUAAAAAAAAAAACAAAAACAAAAAUAUUACGGACUGGGGGAACUUUUUUUUGUUUAUUCAGUAAACUAAAAACAAUAUAAUCAAAUUAGAACUUAUAUUUGGACUGCUAUCAAUAAUGCAUCUGCACUAAUUCGGAGAUUUGAAGGUUUUCACUUUAUUGUUGUUGAACAAUUUGAUUAGUACUUGUAAUAUUUUUUGAUAUUAUUGCGACAUUUUGAAUAAAGUUUCUGUGUUUUUGUUAUUAGUUUUUCAUCCAUUACAAAUAUGAUUAAUGAGUCUAGUAAAUGCAUAAUAUUUGGCUUAUAAUAGUGUUGCUAAUUAUCUUCAAAUAAAAAAACUAAUUAUAAUUGAACUUGUAUCAUCAUUUAUAAUGUGCAAUAAUAAGCCAAAAAAAAAAUGUUACACAAUCUAGUAGUAAUUAACUCUUGAUCGAUACAUAGAUUUAUUUAUUAUAAUAAUUUUGUAAUUAAACUUUGUAUCAUCGCUUUAUAAUGUGCAAAAAUAAGCAAAAAAAAGUUACACAAUACAAGAGAUUUAUUUAUAAUAUAUUUUUUAGAUGAACUCUAAGCCGGAGCAGGAGCACUGUAGCUAGAGCAAUGUUUCUCGACAUAGUUGUUAACAAAAGGGUUACGGAAGGUUUUGAAAACCGUAUGCUUACAAUUUUCAUUCAACGUCUUGAUCGUGGCGCAACAUUCAGAACCAACUGUUGGGUUUUUGGAUAACGUCUUCAUCAAACAUUUUGUUACCAUCUUGUAACUGGAAAAACACUCCUUUAAUUCCCGAUGUGGGCUGUGUUUGUGGGUAGCCGAGGGCGCCUGAGAGUAACCCGACCAUUGGAGCUCUUCGUCAUCUGUUGGGUCGCGGAAUUGAGAUGUGACACAGCUUGAAAAAAGAAUUAUAGCAACAAAAAGUGUGAGAUUCUUCAUUUUCUUUGGAUUCUUUGUCGAUGUGAAAUUGAGAAAAAAUGAAUAUGCUUUUAGUUUUGGAUGGCUUUAAGAUGAAACUAUGUCAGGGAUUAUAUAGAUGUUUACAGUGAAUACUUUAUAGCAUAUUCAAACAAAACAUAGAAAGAAUCAUGACUAGUUAUGUAAGAUAUUGUUUAUAUUCGUUUAAGGACAUAAAUCUAAAAUAUCUGACUAGUCAUGUUGUUAACCCAAAAAGAUUGUAUAAUAUCUUAAUGUUGACCAAAAACAUGGUAUGAUAUCAUAAUAAUAUUCUAUGGUCACCUUAUAAAGUGGAAAAACAUCAAAUUAACAUUGCCUAUUAGAAUAUUCUCAUUUACACAACGUUAUCCCAAAAAAAAAAAAAAAAAUUAGGAUAAGGUUCAGAAAUUAAAUCUAAAAAGAUAACUACAAACACAUGACAUAAACCCCUUGGACCAUGAUUAUCCGUAUAACUGGUUUUUGAAUUUCUUAUUAUUUAUUUAUUUUUUAAAAAAAAAAUUAAAAAGGAAAUCAAUUGUGGGCCGCCACAUGUCAGUGGGACCCGCACAAGGAUCAUGACAAAAGCGAUCCUUAUUUCAUCUUCUUUGUUACCGAUUUUUACUCAAAAUAUGAGGCUCAUCACUUUAAAAACCCUCUUGUUACUCCUGAUAAUUGUAUGCGCAACGGUGAGACUCAUUGGAGUCCUUAGCGACAAGGGCAUUUCAGAUUAAUCUUGGAUAUUUUGAAUUUAAAAAAAAAAAUGAUCAUUCACGGGCCGCCACGUAGUCAAUGGGGCCCGUGAACAGUGUAACGAUCAAUCCUUACCAAAGAAUUUUAAACACUAUUUUUUGCACAAAUUCUAAGAAAAUACGCUCCACACUCGCUAAAGAAUCCUUCAAGAGCUCCCAUUGUGAAUGUUCUUAGAGCAUCUCCAAUAGGAGGUUCUACUCAUUAGAGUUCUAAACAUUUAUAUACAUACACACAUAUAAAUGUUUAGAACUCUAAUGGGUAGAACCUCCUAUUGGAGAUGCUCUUAUACUAAGGGACUCAUAAUACAAGGACAUAUAUGGGGUCAGCCUUCCUAUUCUGUUCACAUACGCACAAAGUUUUUAGUUUGGUUAGUGUCAAUCGAAUAUGUUUAUGUUGACCAAAAAAACAGAGUCAUCAUUAAUUCAAAAUAAUCUUCAAUUAAAAUCACGAUGUAAUUUAUAUUAUAUUUGUUCUGUAUAGAAUAAAAACUGACAUGCCCCUCGAGGGGUGUAAACUCGGUUACGAAUUAAGUUUUAUGAAGUUUGGUUUGAUCAAAAAAAAAAAAAAAAAAAACUGACAUUAUAUGGUUGAAUGACAUUAUUUUGGUUGAAUUUAGUUUUUACUAGAAGGGUGUCCGCGCUUCGCGCGGAAUAUUAUUUUAUUGCUGUUAGAUAUGAUUUUUUGGAUGAUGUAAUUAAGUGGUCUUUCUUAUUUGUAAAGAGAAUUAUUUGAUGUUUUAUUGUGUUAUGUAGUAUUAGGUAAUAUGUUAAUAUAUUAUGUGUUUGUUUUUCAAUAAUGCGUUGUUGUGUGUAUAAUAGUAAUUGUGUGGUGAAGUGAGCUUUUAAUGUAAAUUAUAUUGAAUUUUAAUAACUUUGCAUUUAGGCAUUUGUUAAUUUUAAGAUUGAUGGUUUUAGCGUCAGAAUUGUAUUUUAAUUUGUCACAUUUUUGAACAUUACUCUUUUAAAAUGUUUUUUGCUCACUCUCCAUAUUUUGACCCUGAGUCGUCCUCAUCUAUGUAAUUCGCUUACCUUUCCGGUGUGCGGUGCUUCUCGCCAUCACUGAGAAAAGACUCACCUUUGUGUUCUUGUUUUUCCUCACAUUCAUCUCUUGUGAUAUUAUCUGGUAUUUGUUAUAGAUCAUGCUUACAAAUUCGCAAUUGUGCGGUUGUUUUUCACUGUGUUGUAGGUUGUUUUGGUCAAUAUUGGUCCUCUUCUUUUUUAGAUUUUGACUAAUUUUAGGAACUAUAUCUUGUUGGGUUGGGUCAGAGUUCAGUUGUCUUUGAUGUUGUCUUCCUCUCGUUGACUUGCCGUCGAUAGUCUCUGCUCGUCUUGGUUUUCAAGAUCUGGUUUUUGGUGAUCUGACUUCUAUGCUCUUUAUCAUAUCUCGAGGAUGGCUCCAUGGUUUGAUGAUUUUGUUUCGUCUCCUUUUCUAUCUUUGUUCUCUCAUCUUGUUGCACCUUUCAUUGCUGCUCGCUUCUCUGGUGGCUCUUUUUCGCCAUAUUUGCUACUCCAGGUUUGGAUAGUGUUUUCUUCUGUGUAUGCUUUAUGUGCUUGGAAGGUUAUUUCUAGUCUAAAGUUUGAGCUCUUGUUUUUUGGUGGUAGACUUCCAUUCUCCCUCCCUCAGGUUGUUUCUUUUCUUCUCUUACUUUCCUUGGUGUAGGUGUGCGGAGUUAGUCUUUGGAGCUUUGGUCUCUUCUACUUAGAGCUUUGUGGUUCUUCGCUGGCAUAAACGUCUUGUAUGUGCUUGUUUAGUUUAUGAGGUGUUUCUUACCUUUUAGCUGGUGGUUGUGAUUCCGGUGCUUGUGGCAUGUGUCUUCUUGUUUCGUGGUGACUUUGGUCUCCUGAUGAUUAUUCUUUCUCUGACCUUUUUGGUUUUUUGGGUUUUUUGGGUUGGUGCUUGAUCACGCUCCUUUGAGCUCGGAGGAAUGUUUUGUCUUAUAUUUUACUCCCUCUGUUCCAAAAUAGAUGAUGUUUUAGAAAAGUUAUGAUGUUUCAAAAUAGAUGAUGUUUUGAUAUUUUAUAUUAAUUUAAAUUUUAUUGAAAACUGUGUGACCACUGAUGUUUUAUAUUUAUUUUUAAGGAUUGGAUGAAUUAAUUUUGAUUUAUAUUUUUAAUGUUUCUUUUAGAAAAAAGUGUAUACCUUAAUUCUUGUUCAUACACUCAAAACAUCAAAUAUUUUGGAACAGAAUGAAUAUCCUUUUAUCUUUUCUAACAUCUGCUUGUUCUAUCCAUGAUAUUAUUGGUAAGAUGAGGUAAGUUAGUUUUCUUUGUUGAUCUUUUUCCGGCUCCAAACUUUUAUUGAGUUAGUGUUACUAUAGUAUAAUUGGUUUUUUUCUUUUGGUUGUGGAAGUUGUAGGUUUAGAUUAUGUGUUGUAUUCUAGUUUUUUCUUAUUAGUUUGGUUAUUUGUGGAAGUUGUAGGGCAGUUCUGAGCGAAGUGACCUAUCUUAUCACAUCGGUAACACUCAACCUUUGAUGUGUCUCUCUCUUGCCUAUAAUAUCUGUUUUGUUGAUAUCCAAAUCUACCACGACCUCUUCCUCGAUAUCCAUACCGACCGCCUCUUCCCGAAUCAUACAUAUCCUGUUGUGAGAGUCUGCAUACAUAAGUUUAUCUUGGUUUUGCUCGUCAUGCUUCUCUUCUUCCUCAUCAUGAAUCCUCUCAUCAUAAAAUAAUAGAAAAUGAUAAAAUAACAAAAAUAAUAAAAAAUAUUUAAAAUUAUUUAUUUAUUUAUUUUAUUUAUUUAUUUUUUAUUCAUCUUGAAUUUUAGUGACCAAUAAAAUAAAUUAUCAAAUUUUAUACAAAGAUGGUUAAUAUUAAAAGAGUAAAUAGUGCAUAAUUAGAAAGUACUUCGCUAAAUUGCAAUAAUCUAUAAGAAAAAGGAUUUAAAAUGUAAAAAAAAAAUAUGAAAGACACAUGUCAUCAAACCCCCUUGCCACUUGUCAUUUUGAACAAGCUAACUUUAUAUAUAAAGAUUCUAUACAGAACAAAUAUAAUCUAAAUUACAUAGUGAUUGAAGAUUAUUUUGAAUUAAUGAUGGCUCGGUUAUUUCUAGCCGCCAAGAAACAACAGCGCCGACGAGUCAAAACAGCCGUGAAACACUGUCACAACGGAAGGAUUUCGCCGGAGGGAGAGGAUGACGUCAAGAUGAUGUCGGCGGGAUCUAAGCUGAUGAGUUUAGAAGACAUUGAUGAGUUUUCGGCGGCGGAGUUUAUGCAUAGAAUCUCGAAUUCGAAGUCUAAGAAACCGAAGCUGGAAACCAUAGCUGAAGAAGAAUCUGUCUUAAACGGACUUGAAAUCAAACAAUUAUUAGAACUUGAUUUUUUCAACGCUUUUUUAAUAUUAGUUAUUGUUCUCGUUUGUAGUGUUAUUGAGAAUGAACAUGUAA